CUUUUAAAUUAUAAAAGUAAUUCAUGCUUAUUGUUUAAAAAAUUGCAAAGGCAUAUAGAGCAGAAACUAAAAGUCCCUUAUGAAUCCCCUCUCCCAAUUUUCUACUCUCCCAUCUCUGUUCCAACUCCUCAAAUCUCACACUCUUCCUCAGCAAUGACCAUUUAGGAAUAUGUCCUCUUAAAUACCUCUCUAUGCGUUUACACAUACAUACAUACAUCUGCACAUUUACCACAUGCAUUUUUCUUACAUUAAUGGGAUUUCUACUAUUCUGCUAUUUGCCUUUUUUGCUUCAUUAGUAUAUUUUCUUUGGUCUUAUUCCUUGUCAGUUCAAAUAGAAUCAUAUGAUUAUUACAUUUACAAUAUGGGCACACAAAGAUUUGUUUUUAUCAACCCAUUAUUGAUGAAUUUUUGUGCAGUCUUUUUUUUGCUAUUGGAAAUAUUGUUACAAUCCUUGUACUCUUUGUUAAUAUGUGUAUUUCUUUAGGACAGGUAUUUAGAAUGAAAUUGCUGGGCCGAAGAUUUGCCCAUUCAAAUUUCUAAGAGUUGCUUCCAAACCACACUGUGAGAAGACUUUAUCAAUUUUUAUCUCCAUAAAUUUUUUUUAAAGAAAAUAGUCAAACCAGAAGUCCCAUGAAACUAACUUAAGAGAUAAGCAAAAGUGUCUAUAGCCCAUUGACUUCCAUAUCAGAGAUUAACUGUCCUCUUCCAUGUUCAAACCAUAUGUAAUUGUAAUUGAAUGGAAGUUAAACAUCUGGAAACCGUUAGGAUUGAAUAGCAAUGAAAGGCAGGAAGCACAAGACUAUGGAAAGUGAUUUUGAACAACCAGGUGGUCCCAAAGAUAACCAAUUGUUUAGAUCCUAGAGGAAAGGGAAGAACCCACAUCUACCAUGAAUGAAUAAAUGGCGACCUGGAAGCAUACUUCCGGUAGCAAUGGGGACAUGGGUCAAAGGGGACUUGAGGUCCUCUCUCUACUCUUUUCCAUCCUGUUCUCUGCCCAGGGAAGAUGACCUAUUUAGACAGCAGCAAAGGGCUUGCUUACCCAAGAGUACUGGCAGGAGAGAGGAAGGAGGAGGUAAGAUCAGAGUAUGUUCCUGGCCCCUUCUCUGCUGGUUCCUGCAGGUUGGCUGUGUCCCUCUACCCAGAGAUACAGCUCCUGCCAGGCAGCCCUUUCCAUUCCACUCCCCUCCCUGGCUUCCAAGAAUGGCUCCUCGAUGCUUCAUUCAGGUCUAGUGGUGGGAAGAGCUCCCUGCGGUUGCCAGCUCCAUAUCGAAGUGAACUCUUAGGCAAUGUCUUCUCAUGCAAUUUAUUGGGAAAUCAAUCAGAGAUUGACCUUUGCUAGACAACCUCUAGUGUCUUGUAAACAUUAUUUAAAUUUUAAAUUAUUUGUCUUUUCAAAAUCAUGGGCUUUGGCACUAAGUAGUUUUGGCCUUGACUGUAAGCUUUGUCAACAUUGAACACCUGGACAAAGUAUUAACCUAGCAGAGCCUCAAUUUACUAAAAAUUAAAGAGUAACAGUAAUAUCUACCUUACAUGGUAUUGUGAGAAUUCAGUGAACAUAUAUAAAAUUUUAUUACAAGAUACAGCACAUAAAUCUAAUUUUAUUCCUCUUUUUUCCCUCUUUCUUUCCUCCAACUAGGGGCCAAAUUUAGCUAACAUUUACUGAGUGAUUAUUAUGUGUCAUGUACUAGUUUAAGCAUUUUAUACAUAUUAAUUGAUUUACAUCAAUCCUAUAUACUAUUAUCCUCUCUUUUACAGAUGGAGAAAUCAAGGUGCAAAGAGGUUAAGAAAUUUGUCCAAGGUUUGCCAGGACAUAGAUGGGAGUACUAAUUCACAACUAGAUGGUAAACUUUUCAAGGCAAAACCAACUGUAUACCAAAUUUCUUUCUUUCUUUCACAGGGCCUAGCAUGAUGUCUUCCAUAUGCAGGUGUUCAAUAAGUGCUGAUUUUAUUCCAGGAGCAGAGGCAAUUAAGCUAGGGUUGCAAUAGUUAGGGAGCCAGGAGAUCCACGUGGUCAAAGUAGCAGCUGCUUUCACGAAGCGGCAGUAAUGCGUGCCGCUCGAAUUUGGAUGCAAGGUCCUGGUAACUGAGGAAUGGGCUGUUGCUGGAAGAUAGAGCAGAGAGCAGCCAGUUAUCUUGCGGAGGGGUGAGGAAGGAAAGAGAACUUGAGCUGGGAAGCCAGCAACAGUGGAAAGCUCCCCAAGUGAAGCUUGAGCUCCUCUCUCAGCAAUCCUCCUGGCCUUGAGGAGACAGUAAAUCUCACUCCAUCCUGUGGUUAUACCACUGAAGCAUCUUUAAAAACACUUAGUCCCAAACAAUGGGCCCUUUCCUGCUGCUUUUCUUACCUGAGCCAGCAACCUCAGAGCUUUCUGGGAUUUCUGUUAAAAACGCCGAGAUCCCAGGACUCCUUCUCUAUCAACACAACUGUCACUCACGCCAAGCAUGGGACAUAUGGCCGAGCAUCUGGGAGGGAGAAGAUGGGCCAGGAGUGCUGGCAAGCGGCACAUGCUUUCAUUAUAAUGGAUGUGUCACAGUAAAUCAUUUUGUAAAUGUCCCCUCCCCCUGUGCUGCAUAGCAAAACAUAAAGGAAGACGAAUUACCCACAGCACCACAAUGCUGGUUGAAUAUGCCAAAACUUGUGCCUGAGACACUUAGUGACAUUUCCUUAAAUAUCUUUUUAAUAUCUUGGCCAGGUUGGGCAUACCAAUGGCAUUACAGAGCUUGCAAAUCAAUACCCCAGCUGUUUUGGUUUUUUAAUAAAACUGAAUGUGAUCUAUUUUAAAUGAUUGCCUUCCACCCCUCUAAUUUUCUACAGGGCUUUCAGAGAGCAAGACUGUGGGCAGCCCUGAAGUCAGGACUUGGCUCUGAAAGGGUAGUUGUUCCUUUUGGGGGUGGGGGUAGAAAUUAAACAUUUGCUGGAUUACUGUCAUCAUUUUUUCCUAGUCCUCUAGUCUCCCAAAUCUAGUGAUCUACAUGAUUUACAGGACCAACUUGUGGUUUGCUGCUGUUUUUAAAAAAUGAGUUUACCAAAAUGUUGCAGAAGAAUCUAAAGGGCUUAGCUUCUACAAAUCAAAUUGAUUUCUCCAUUUGGGAUCAGUCCAAGUGAUUUAUUCAUAAUUUUAUUAGAGAUCUUUUCCAAAGGAAAUUCUUUGUCUCUGAUUAUCACCAUAAAGAAAAUUGAAAGAGCUUCUACCAAGAAUUAAGUCAUAUGCAUGUGACUUUUGCCCCUCGGAAAAAUGGAAUAUGUAAAACUGUCAUCAACAGCAACCAUCUUGGUUACUGGACAUCCACAGUCCUCAAUAACAACAAGAAUUCCUCACGCAGAUAGGGAGGUGGUCCUGUCACAUUUGGGGUCCCAGUAAGCAGAAAAGCCCAAUCAAAGUACCUAUAAAUCAGAGUUUUAUAAAGAUAUUAGUUGACUGCUACUUAUGUGGGUCAUAAAUGUGACACCACAAUAAACAAUCAAGUUUCUUUGAGGACGUAUUUGAGGACUUUUUUAUUGGCUUUGAGAAAUCACAG
ensembl:lincRNA